CGAAGCUUGCUUUGUGAUGGCGACCGGCGCACGGGUGAGUAACGCGUAUCCAACCUUCCCUAUACUAGAGGAUAGCCCGGCGAAAGUCGGAUUAAUACUCUAUGUUGUAUUUCGAGGACAUCUGAAUAAUACCAAAGGUUUACCGGUAUAGGAUGGGGAUGCGUCUGAUUAGGUUGUUGCGGGUAACGGCCCACCAAGCCCACGAUCAGUAGGGUUCUGAGAGGAAGGUCCCCCACAUUGGAACUGAGACACGGUCCAAACUCCUACGGGAGGCAGCAGUGAGGAAUAUUGGUCAAUGGACGAGAGUCUGAACCAGCCAAGUAGCGUGCAGGAUGACGGCCCUAUGGGUUGUAAACUGCUUUUAUACAGGGAUAAAGUGACGUACGUGUACGUUUUUGUAGGUACUGUAUGAAUAAGGACCGGCUAAUUCCGUGCCAGCAGCGGC
rnacentral:rRNA from 1 species